ensembl:lncRNA
GGGUCUGCAAUUAAUAGCUUCUUGCAAGUAAUUAUGCACCUCGGGUCUGCAAUUAAUAGCUUCUUGCAAGUAAUUAUGCAGCACAGACAGAGGCUUGCAGGUCAGGUGUGAGCCGUGCCAGCACAGCGUCCCCCUGCACUGCUGAGAGCACUGCUGAGUGCUCUGCUGCACUUUGCUUUCCUGCAAACCAGUGGGCACGGCCUCCCGGCUGCUGGCAGCACAAACAGGCAGGGAUCGCCUGAGGGCAUAAGUGUGGCCAGAAGGAUGCAUUGCCAGUGUGAGUUCGUAACCAACUGCAGGCACAGAGUGGGACAAAACUUCUUCUAAAUCAGCCCCGUAUGCCCUGUUCUUUUCCCUUUGUAAUAAUGAACCCGCUGCCAUUUUGCAUGGCCACAUGUGUUUCCCUGCUCUUUGGCCCUCAGCACCUUGGCUCAGGCACCUUUAGCUGGUGCUUUUCCCACACAUCUGAAUAACACAGCAGCAAAACCAUCAGCAUGCAGCCCUCACCUUCCCAGCCAGCAGCCUUCUCCUCAGGGCUCAGAGCUCAGCAGCCAUGGGUUCACCAAUGUCUGUCAAACAUGACAUCACUGAGUCACUCUGUGACUUUCUCCCAAGCACUUUCAUGCAUCUUUCCUCUGCUGCAAAACCUUAGGAGAUUUCACAAAGCCUGUACUACUCGUUUCCUUUUAAGUGCAGCCCACAAAUUAAUGGUGCCUGUUAAUUAGGCAGCUAAACCUGAAGGAAAAAAAACCCUAAGGAGAAAAAGAAGUAAUGCUUCUCAUUUGAAGAUACUGUGCUGCAAAACACAUUAAAGACAUGAGCCAGCUUUUAAUAACUAAGAGACGCUUUAAUUAGAGUUGACAUAUGAACCGAGUACGUGUGCCAGGCCCAGUGCGGGCUCACAUACGUGUGUAGCCUACAUAGGGGUGUGUGUGGGUUACAUGCACGUGGGUGAGCGGUGCAGGGGACCCCAAAGAGGAUGCUGGCUUUUGAACCUCUGUGCUCUUUGAUGAUUAACAGAGGGAAUCAUACAAUCACAGAAUCAUAGAAUGACCUGGGUUGAAAAGGACCGCACUGAUCAUUGAGUUUCAACCCCCUGCUAUGUGCAGGGUCACCAACCACCAGACCAGGCUGCCCAGAAGGGAAGAACAAUAUUUUGCAUACCUGAGUCUCCAUUACUUUAAGAGCACUGGUGCAAAAAGAAGUUAAUUUGGAACUAUUGCAGCCAUCAUUAGGAAAAAAGUUGCAUCCAUGCAGGACAGACCCUUCCCUUCCCUCCUCAUCUCAUCCUGGUCCAUGUAGAAAUCCAGGAUUUGUGGCUCUCAAAGAAUAGACUUUAAAUUUCUAUACUCACGUCAGGGCAGCAUUAAAUAUUAAAGUGAGAUAUUAAAAUUUCAGAGAGCCUAAAUUAAACCUGAGGUAUUCAAAAAUAAGUGUUCCUGCAUAUUUAAUACUAGAGAUCUCGUAAUUAACUUUAGAAAUCUCUCAUGUUAAGAAAAUGAGGAGCUGCCUAAAAACCAGUGACCACAGCUGUGACCUUCUGGGCACACGCUGGGUCUGCUAUGGAGCAGGCACGGAUUUGUUAGCAGGCUGGAAGCAAAGUAAGCCAGGGAGGACGGGGUCUGUAUGUCCCUGGAAGGUCUUCACUGCCCAUAGAGUGACCAGCAGGGUAAGCCCAGUGCUCGGCAGGCUGCUUGCCCAGCUGAGUGGGUACCCCAGCACAGGGCAUUGAGGUGUUUUUUCUGCCUUCACCUGAGUUCCCAGGGCUGUGAAAUAGCUCUAUUUAUCUCAUGGUUCCUUGAGAUAUAAAGCCUUAUAUAAGCACCUGAAUUUAUUAUUCUAAUGCUUUCGUCCCUUGUGCGCUGCUAUAAGUGGGAAGUUGCAUUAAAUCAAUAGUAUGCCACAUUUUUAGGUCUCUCCAAGGAUUUGAGUGUAGCAAAUAAGGCCACAAGUCCUGCAGGUACCAGCAGCAGCAGCCAGCUCCUACACCGUGUGCUGAGCCCUAAGGGCUGAGUGGUUGUGCCUCUGCUUAAAACUGCAUAAUAGUAUUCAAUUAGCAGAGGCUGUGCCCCGGCUCAUGAACACUGGGCUCUGCUCAUCCUGCUUCCACAGAUGCAGGUGAUUUUAUCAUCAUAGCCUUUUGUGUCUGUGGAAAUCAAGUCGAGAUCGCCAAAUGCCCUCCCACAGAAGAACAUAGCUCUGUGACAAUGGGCAGGCUCAAGGUUAUGGACACUGAUUUAACAUUGGCAAGUUGUCCAGUCAAAGUAAAUAGGCUUUUCAUGUGCCUACACAAAAGCUGCUCCACUAAUAUGACAGAAGAAGUCACCACCUUUGUCAAUGGCAACACCAAAUGACUGCCCCGUGUCACACAGCAGCUGGCACACAUCUCUGUGGGCAGGGUGGGCAGUGAGGCAGCAUCCCAACAGCACCCCAACAGCACGCCCUGGUGCAGGGCUCCCAGCAGCGCCCUGGGGACCCAGGCACAGCCCACAGUGUGGCACAUCUGCGGGCUGUGAUUUGUGAGGAUGGCUGCUAACUUGCAGUACUCGAUUUCGGAGGGUCACUCGGUACAACAGCAAACCACUCGUUCCCAGCAAAAUGUCAGAUUAUGGAUGGAGGGGAAGAGAAGAGGCUUGGAGAGAUAAAACCAUAUACUGACAAAACAAUAAAGGAAAAAUCAAUCUUUAUGACAGAUGAGAGAAGAGAUUUACAGUGUAAUCAGAAAGCACAAAGAGAUUCAUGGCUUGCCAGAAUGGUAUCCAGGCAGCAUUACUCUAUAGAUGGCAACACAAUCGCACUGCUAGAUCUGUUUGUGUUUCUGAACAAAUCUCUCUGUGCGUUCUGUUGGAGUGGGCACCAUAAGCACAGAUCUCAGCGCUCCAUCUGCACGGCGUGCCUCUCCAUGCACAGCUCCGCAAUCCUUGGGCUGUUCUGAUGCGAUCAGCUGCAUGGAGCAUGCAUUGCAGCAACGGCGGGAGAUAAGAGCUGCCCGGAGGGAGAGUUCCACACAGAGGGAGGGUGCCACACGGCUUCUCUUAGCACAGCCAGAGCAGUAAUUAGUGUGGAAACGAAGGCAGCCCUCCUCCGCUAAUGAGCUUCUGGCUAUCAAGCCAUUGUCUUAAUUUCUAGGCAGUCUGAUAAGAUAUCUUUUAGAUAGGAUCAAAAUGGCCGCUCAGCUAGAAUCCAAAGAAAUCCUGAUCUAUGAGUUUAAUACCAUGUAAAGCUUAACAUAUACUUCAGCCUGAACUGGUUCAGAUUGCCUGGCAUUUUUUAUCUAAAAAGCAAGAAUCACACAGCAAGACCCCGAGGCGAUUUAAUCAUCGGUUGCAGCAAUGGAAAAGCAAAUCCUUUCUUUCUCUCUCUGCAAAACCUCUCCUGCCCUGUGAUGGCCACCCAGGCCUCCAGAGUCCAUCCCCUCCCCUCCAGCGGACCAGGGGUUCUGGGCUGUGGGCUGUGCCUCCAGGAUGGACCUCCUGCCCUGUUGUGCCAACCCCCGCCCCAGGCCAACAGCAGGCACGGCACUCAGGCUGGGAGCUGUCAGCAGAGCAGCAGAGCCUGCAGCGUGCCAGCCCACGGUCUGUUUGGUGCAACUCAGUCCCCUGCUUGGUGUGGCAUUCAGGCCCCAACCGGGCUACCUGCAGCCAUUGCACUGUUCCUUACAUCUUGUCUUUGCUCUCAGAAGCUCACGGGCAGCCCAGGGCUCAUGGUAACAACAACGAGAACAAAAUUAGCAGUGAGAUAGGCAGCCAAGCUCAGACCCAGCCAGGAAAACCGUGAUGUUGAGUCUUCUCUUCCCAACAUCUCUCAAAACAUCUCAGAGGAGGGUGUCAAGUGCAGACCCACAGGGAAUCUGCAAACCCUGGCAAUGUGCAAUUGCAAAACAAGUUAGAGCAGAGACCCAGCAGACUGGUGGUGAGUCUUUCUGACCAUUCCCUCCAAUAACAUCACCAGAGAGCCCUGGCUCUAACAGGAUGACACAAGUUAUGUGGAUGUCAACAGAAUCAUUCAUAUAGUACUCUGAAACUGCACAGCACAGCAUGCAGAAUAGAAACAACUAUGAUACCAGUUAUGCUGUUUACAGAUGGUGAGGAUUUAAUUCAUCCUCCAUGAAGCUCUGCACCACAGUAGCAAUAAAUCAGUUGACUGAUAAAGGCAGCAGCACUGAAAAUUAUGCGAUCUGUUGGCCUAUUGCCUCAGUCAGGAAAACGACAGAGAUUGGAAACCACACAUUCUUCCUUGGUCAGUUUUCCCUUUGCCCCAUUGAAGCAUUGGUUAGCUCCUGCUAUCUGUUCUGUUUAGAAAGUCAGGAGCAGAAAUACAAGCAGAGGAAAACCUUGAAGGCAUCAGGUUGAUGCCACACUGCUGCAAGCAACAGAUGACUGACUGCAAUCCUUAAUUUCCCCAAGACAGUUUCAAAACAAUGAGCUUAUCAUUUUCAAGCCCAGCCAUUUGUGUAUGUCCUUUUCUCCUUUGUUCUCAGGUGGUGGGCAACCAGCAUUUUAUUUUGCACAAAGUUCUUUGGCAGCAUUCGUCCAUAAUCAUCAACAAAAUAAGUUAAUAUAUGUAGGCGACUAUAAUGACAGUAAAUGCAGUGUGGGAGGGAUAAUAUGUGCUUCAUUGUCAAUGCUCACAUGCUGAAUUAAAUACUCUAUUCUGGUUAAAUGCUAAUACACUCCAUGAGCACUUUUCCAUAAACACGUUUUUUAAGUGUGGUAGAAUACAGAAGUGAUAUGAAUUACAUAUUGAUAUAAUCUGAUAUAUGUGAGCUGAAGGAGGGGUGUUUUUCUGCAGCACGUCGCUUGGUACUGGCACUGGCACGAGCUGCAUGAAAAAAGUCUUUGUGAUAAUAUCAAUUCAGCCCUAUGUUGAGUUCACCCAUCAGAACCACAGUAGCAUCAGCCCUCAUCUAUAAAGGAUGCAUUCUUUUCGCAAUGGGUUUGGCCACAGCUGGCCAAAUGACGGGGAUCACCUCAGCUUUAAGCGCCGGUAACUAUCAAUGAUUCCUCUUUUCUGAUAUACUUAAGAUUUUCUCUCUUGUGGUUUGCAUCGCAGCCAUGGGGAGGGAAGCCGAGGGCUGUGAUGCUGUACUGAUGCCUUGGGCAUAACCGCCGCUGGCCCUACGCAUCUGGCUGAUACUUCAAUUACUCUGCUAACACAGGGAAGACUUUAAAGAGCAGUAAACAGCAGCACCCUGAAUUAAUGCCUUGCUUCUCUGCUGUCUGUUUUUCACAAAGAUAUUUUCCUUAGCAAUCCAGAGCAAAAGGCUCAGUGUGGUAUCAUAAGGCAACUCAAAAGAAUAAAUAAGUUCCGCAGCACAAAGCUCAGUAUUAAAAAGACAGUGUGAGAACAGUAUCUAAAUGGUAUCACCCGUUUUGGAGCUAAAAAUAGGCUCAGAAUAUCAAGGGAACUUUCAACAAGUAACGUAAGCUGAUUUUAAAGGUGAUCCAUUAGAAGCCAUCAGUCAAGUCUCACUUUGUGCUGAAUGGUGAAACUGGAAUAACUAAAAGAACUUUGCUGCUCCCUGACCCCAAAAAUCCCCAACACCAACGUCAGCCCUAACGAUGGGGCAGCAGCCCAGGCCUGGGGGUCCCAGCAGUGAGGAACAGAGGUGGGGAUGUCACUGGGGGACAAAAUGAUAGAUCAGAGCCCUCUGAUAUGUGACAUGGGUGAUAUUUUCACUACUGAGGGAACAGAGCUCUUCUUUCAUCCUCCUCUCCAUGUAGAUCUCUGCUUUCUAGGCAGAGAUCCAUUGGUAAUCAAUAGCUCCAAGCGUUGUCAAUGAGAUACUCCAUGCAGUAUAAAGUAUAGAGGUCAAAGUGUUAUAUGUUUUUUAAAAAAAAUCAUCAUACAUAGAAUCACAUCACAGAAUGGCCUGGGUUGAAAAGGGCCAUCCUUGGCCCUUCCCAAGGGCCAUUCCCCCUUGUCCUAUCAAUGUCACAAUCAAAAUCACAACCAAAAUCACACAGCCUCCAAUCAAAAUCACAUGACCACUUCCAACCUGCCGGUGGAUUUCCAUAGAUCCCAUGACUAAUGCCCAAUUAAUUCUGACUGUCUCGAGGGUGCUUACUUUUAAUUAUAAACUCCUGCUUUACUUACAGAGUACGUCACCUAUAAUUGCAUAUCUUUCCAAUAUCUCUUGGUCAGAAAAACAAACUAAGCACCAAUCUGAAAGACCUAAAGCUGAAUGCUUCGCGAGCAGAAUUUGGGAAUACAAAGCAAUGGCAGCUCAGAGGUGCGGAAUGCUUUGGAAUGUGGGGACAAGGAGCUGAGGUGCAGUGCUGCCCACAGCCCCGGCUGCCAUGGGAGCCAGCGAGCACUGCCAGCCACAGACAGCCGUGCGUUGUCUCAUUUGUUUCAGAAUUAGCUCUCUUUUCAAUCGAAUGUCAGGACUUAUUGUUUGAACUCCGAUGGGCUGGUUUGCCAAUUAUCAUCAGUGUCUUUUGUGAAGCAGCUUGCCCAGGCUUUUAAAACACAAUUACCAGCCUGGUGCAGCAGAUAGGAUGCCUGUGACAUUUUCGCAUGCUGAAAAUAAAUACGUAAAAUAUAACAAAACAAGACUUUUAUUAGUAACAUACUUCUAGGAAGGAAUGUAAAGUAGCCAUUAGGAAUCCUGCUAAGACCAUUGGUCAUUAUGACAAGAAGGAAAGCAGCUUUCUUAGGGUUUUGAUUUCUUUUUUCUACUUAAUGGGUACUCCCUUUCCACCAUCACCAGCAGACAAUCUUGUCUAUUAACAUUUACUUGGCACUUAUCACUUUUAUAUUUCUUCAUAACCUCAGCAAUUCAAAUAACAUUGCAGCUCUGCUCUGAACCUUUACUUUGGUACAUAUGGAUAAUGAUGUAGCAUCAAAGAUGCCCCCCACCCCCACUGCCAUCACAGAAGCUGCCAGGUGGGGUCAUUUGGCUGAGUCAAUCGUGCACCGUAAACUACAUUUAUACCUCAUCCAAAAGGGUUCAGCAAAAUAGUUGUUGCUGUUUUAGUUCUAUGAAAUCCAUCGUUCCGAGGAGCUCACGUGGAUGGGAUGUGUGCUGUGUCUGCACGAGGCAGCUCCUUCCAGCAGCAGCACUGCUCCGUUCUGUGAGGGCAGAGCCAGGCAGAGGGCUCAGAUGUGUCCCCUUCAUACCCCUACGCUGUAUUUAAUUGACACUCUGUGCGCAGUGCAAAAUCAAUUACAGUGCAGCACCAGAUUUAAAUGCGAUGUCAGUGCAACUGCACAGUUUGGAUUGCCCUCUGUGAGGCAGGGUCAGGCUCUGUUAGACAGGAGCCAAGCAAGAACCAGCCCUGACUUUUCCAAUUAAAACUGGAAUAGCAAAUUAUUAAAAGGAGUCUGCACUAUUUCUAACGGUGAGAAACAGAUGGUAGAUAGGAUGAGUUCCAUAACAACAGCCCAGAGCUGAUCUCUAGGACAAGAGGAGUGAAAUAUGAACACCCAUGGAUGCAACACAGCUAUCAUCAUCCACUUUUUUCUUCUUUCCUGCAGAGCAGAUCUAGCACAGCACAACAUUUGGUGUUACGCCCUGGGCCCACAGUGUUGCACAUCUGUUAAACUUGUCUGCAUAAAGGGUUAGGGUGUGAAAAUCAGAUUUAAAGCAGAAUCCUUCUGUUAUCAUUUUAAAAGCUUUACAGAGAUAACCCAAUCUUAGCCAUGGUACAUCAGCUCUUGGUUACAUGGCUCUGGAAUAAAAACCAUAGUACCAUAGAACUGUUUGAGUUGGAAGAGAUCCUCACAGGCCACCUGGUCCCACCCCCUGGAGUGAACAGGAACACCCACAGCCCCACCAGGUGCUCAGAGCCCCAUCCCUGACCUCGGGUGUCUGCAGGGAUGGGACACCACCGCCUUUCUGGGCACUGUUCAAAAGCUCCGAGUAAACUGAUGAUCCUACCUAUUGGUCGUGCCUCUCUUUCAAAUAAUUAAUGCAGUCAGUAUGGAAACUGACUCAGGUUACAAAGCCAAAUCCUGUUUCAAGCCAUGUGCAGCAGCUUCAUCAUUUAAAUACAUUCUUGCGCAGCAUAUCUAUGACAAAUUAUUUGCUUCCCAUGGCAAGUCUCAGUUUUUAGGCUAAUGAGCAGAUAUCUCACACUCCCUGAUUUGGGCCUUCCAUCUCCCCAGCCCCACGUGUACAGCCUUUGUUCUGGCAGGUUUGAUGUGUUUGCCCUUUACACCACUGGCGUUUGCUUCACACUUAGAACAGAGAAUUACCAGGCGGGGCUACAAAAUGGAAGCACACAGCAGUACAGGCUGCGUGCACUGAGAUCUGGAAGUGCUGCACAGCGGGAUUCCUCUUGCAUUUGCGAAAUCACUCAGCAGAAUUACAGCUUUUGCUGGCAAAGCUACUUAAAAGCAAAUAAGGUCAAAAAAGCAUUAAGGAGCCUGAAGGGAAAGCCUGGCAUUAUUCAUCCGUUCAGAACAUAAAGCUUCUGCGUCAACCGCGAGCAGUUACAGUAAACAUUUGUACAACACUUCACCUCCAUAGAUGGGGUGAGCAGAGGGAUUAUUUCUGGUUGGUAAUGUGAUGGUUUCCCUGUGAACCACAAACGAUGGGAGCAGGUGGGACGCUGUGCCUCCCCGUGGCACAGCCCUGCUGCAGCCACAUGCCACGUCCUGGUUAUGGAACCUUCAUGGUUUAUGUGAAGUGAACCAUGCUGAGAUGAGGACAGCAGAAAGUGGAAUUAGGUCCAGUAUAUCUGCCUGUGAACUUCCCAACAUGGUACACAUCGGGCUUCCCAGCUUGUCUCCACUGUGCAGAAAGUGAGGUAGGACCAUGACGUUAAAUAUAUGUAACCAAACGCAAAUCAGCCUCUGAACUGAGGAGCCUGAAUCUCAUCUGGGGACACAGAAAAAGAGAGGAGCUAAUACAAAGCUACUAGAAAGUGUUUCUCACAGUUGAUCUUACUGAAGUACUUCCUAGUUACCCAGAGAGAGGAAGCAUGCACAGCACACUCGUGCUCAGGCACAAGUCAUGAGUUCUAAAAAACACAGAUAGGACUGUAUGGAUAGGAGCAAUCCCAGAAGCACACCUUAGCUGUAAAAGAAGUCACCAUUUUUUUUACCUAGUGCCCAAAACUCGGUUCAGUUUAGAUUGGGUACAUUUGUACUGGUAGCAUUUAUGAUCAGACCAACAAAAUCAGCCACAACAACACGCUCUUAAUGAAUUUCAGAACAGCAAACAUUGAGCUAGCAAAUGUCAGCAGGUGAUGCUGCACUUUAUUCCAGAACAAAUACAAUGUCAUAUCGAUAACAGAAAAACCAACUCCAGCCCUUAUUUGGGCACGGGCAGUUUUCCUGCAAAUAAACUUGCAUAAAUCAGAGUGAAUCAAAGAGUAACACUGAGUGCAAUGCGGGAACACUGCUGUAUGAAGUGCCACUCACACCGUGUCGGACUCACAUUCACAUUAUGGAUGAUACCCAUCACACCUUUAUCUGUCUUCUGCUGAUGAAAUUUGUGCUGUGAGUCAAUGUACAGCAUCCGUGUCAAAAGAUCAGAUAUUGUAUUUGUUUGUUUUCUAGCUUGCUUAUGGCUGAUAACAGCAUAAGCUGAGCGAAUCCAAGGAAAAAUAAUUCAUCACAGUGCACUGUUCCCUCCUGCACUGCCGCAGAGACGUUCCCAUCACAAGUGUGAGUCCAACUGCAUCAAAUUCCGCUUAAGCAUCAUCCAUCAGCUGCACAGAGAGCACUUUCCUAAGGCUCCUGUAGGGCUGACGGAGCUGAGCACAUUGGCCAGAGCCCAGCCAGGUCAGCAUUCACCCGACACCCACCUCUGCACUGCUGCCCCUGCCAGGCCCUGCGCUGCAGGGACGUCCCUGCCCUGUGCACCGGGGUCACUGCAGCCCCAGCUGCCACCCGUGGAUAAAGCCAUCCCCACAGUGACCCCACAGACAGCCCCAGGGGUUGGGUCACCUCUCCCUGCGCUCAGACCCCUUCUGUUAAGGAUUGCAUCUAACACUAGAAUCGGGUUAUGGAUUGUACACCGUGUUACAAUUAGAAAGCGAUAUGCAUAGAUAUAUAUAUACUGACCUUUUUUAGUUGUUUCUAAAUAAUUAAUCUCCAAUACAGCAGGAUAGGGAGAGGGGUUUUGCUUUUAACAAGCGCUUUACAGCCACUGAAUUGAAUGGAUGCCUUAUUUGUGAGGGUGGGAGGGAUUUGGAGAAGCAGCCCCCGCUGCACAGGCAGCCACAGAGCCCUGCAGGAUGGACAGCCCAGGCAGCAGGGCUGGAAGGCACUGUGGGGCUGUGCUCCUGGGCCGGGCACUGUGCAACGUGAGCCAAGCAGGAGCACUGCAAUGCUGCAGCAAUGGGGAUCUGUCUGCACCGCCAGCUGCACCCCAUAAGGAACGAAAGAGCCUCCGCAGAACAGACGGAAAAGGUUUUUUCCAAAGCCACUCAGUAACUGCCUUGUAACCUCACUUCUGUACGAUGGGUAGGAAUGGAAUCACUUCCAUUAAACAUCAGUUAGGUGAACUUCUCCCAGGAUUAACAUAUAACAAUGUUUUCUUUCUCUGUUGUUUUCAAUGAGUUUCACCUGAGGUCAAGAGUCCCUAACUCUUUCCAAAACUCAGCAACAGCCCAUAGGGACGAGCACACUUAUUUCCUGCAUCUGUUCUCCAAAUUAAAUCAGAAAGUGCUUAUAAAGGAACAUUCCUGGCAGUCCCCAGGGAAGCUCUGAUGGAGACCUGCCAUGAUGGCGAUGCUCACUGCUGAGAUCUCCGCGCUGUGGCACGGCUGGAACCUUUCCUCUCUUCUUUUCCAUUUGAUAUUGUACUAAUUGUAAGGGAAAUGUAACACCACCACAGGGAUCAAAUCUGGAACACUGGCGAGACACCGGUUGGGUUCAAUGGAUCAAGAGAUUCAAUUCAGAUGUUACCGUGCCAUGAGAGCAGCGAGCAGCCAUGCCCUCGCAUUGCAGCACCGUUUGUGUUUGCUCUGGCACUGGGAACAUGGUGUGAGGGCGUUUUAGUGGCACAUAUGAACAUGAAGGCAGAGCCCAUGUGCUAUUAACACAGUGCUGCUCUUUGGCACUCGUGAUAAUGUACCAUGUGGAACUACGACCAAAUCCAACCAGCCCAACCUUCAGCACUGCACAGCAUCUUAGGACACACACAGUGUUUUCAGUAGCAGCAGACUACGGGAUGUGGGGGCUGCAGCCUGGUAGGACAUACCUGUGUUUCUCGCUUCUAUGUACUAUUUUGUAUGGGUUAGAGAAGAUGGCCUCUGUUGUGCAUUGUUUGUGAAAUGUUUCUUAUCCCAGAGAGGUGUACGAUGUAAAAUACGUCAGUGAAAAGUGUAUAUUUUAUGUGAGAGGAAAAUACAUUUUAAUAAAGGUAAAGCUUUGUUAGCUGUAAAAAUGGCAACUGUUCAAGUGUACAGUAACUUCUUACUAAUGUACGAAAAUCUGUGAUAUUUUUGAUUUGAUUGUAUUUGUAUUGCCCAAAUAAAACAUUUUGGCUGUAUUGUUCUUAAC